GGAGGGGUGACAGAGAGGUCGAAUGUGUCGGUCUUGAAAACCGAAGUCUGGGCAACCGGACCGUGGGUUCGAAUCCCACCCCCUCCGCCA
rnacentral:tRNA from 2 species